rnacentral:tRNA from 1 species
GCUCUGUAGCGCAGUGGUCGCGCACUCCAACUGUGCGGUUUCCCUGUGUGCUUCCCAAAAGGAAGUAUCACAGGGCCACAGGAGAGGUCCUCGGUUCGAAUCCGAGCAGAUGCA